AAGUCGUAACAAGGUUUCCGUAGGUGAACCUGCGGAAGGAUCAUUAUCAUAACGUAUCCACGUAUAAACCAAUUUUAUAAUGUGAAUUGUAAUGUUUUACAACCUUUGAUAGUUAGAUGAUUGCUAUUUUGUUUCUUCUAUUAUAUUGAUUAAGGAAACAUGAUAGACUUGGGUGUGUGUGGUAACACACAUACAUCCUAGCUUUAACAAUCGAAGUGUAAUUUUAUUAAUCAAUAUAUAUUAACCAAUUGAACCGAAUUAACUUAAUUGUUAUUCAUAUUUCUUUAUAGUGAACUGAAUUGUUCUUUACCCUAUCGUAACUGAUAGAGAAAGGAUUAUAUUUACGAAACAUAAAUUAUGAACAACUCUUAGCAACGGAUAUCUUGGUUCUC
rnacentral:misc_RNA from 1 species